UACGGAGGGAGCUAGCGUUGUUCGGAAUUACUGGGCGUAAAGCGCACGUAGGCGGCUUUGUAAGUUAGAGGUGAAAGCCUGGAGCUCAACUCCAGAACUGCCUUUGAUACUGCAUGGCUUGAAUCCAGGAGAGGUGAGUGGAAUUCCGAGUGUAGAGGUGAAAUUCGUAGAUAUUCGGAAGAACACCAGUGGCGAAGGCGGCUGACUGGACAUGUAUUGACGCUGAGGUGCGAAAGCGUGGGGAGCAAACAGG
rnacentral:rRNA from 1 species